ensembl:lncRNA
GUGGGAGCCCCAACCUGCGGGCAGUGCCUGGGUCUAGAAGCAGGGUGUCGCCAGCCCCCAGAGCCUGGUGACUCUUGAGUUUUCAGCCCGUCCUCCUGCAUCAGGAGGACAAGCUGCCUCAUUUCAGAGGCCUCCCAACUUUUUCCUUGUUGAAUCCCGUCCUCCUUGUUCAAUCCCUUCAAUGGUGGGCCUUCCCCAAAGUGAGGAUAGCUAGAUGUUAGUUGCAUCUCCCAAAGCUGAGUCUCCCGUGCAGUCCUCCCCUGGCUCAUCCUCUGUCCUCGAAGCGCCUCUUUUUGCCCCCUUUGCCAUCAUUUAGCGGGGAUUGGGGACCCAGUGUUCACUCCACUGUGUGGAUCAACUGCAAGGGCAUUAUUGAUUCAUUUUUGUAAAGUCCCAAAACCCAGCACAACACUGGUACGUGGCAGGUGCCGCCUGGAUAAACGAAUGAGUGAAAGGCAAAAGGACAGGGUCCUCUGCCCUCAAAAACCUCACAGCACAGCUGGGCGGAGGAUGCAGGUUGGAGGGAGGAGGAAGUCGAUAGAUCCGUGCCUUAGCGCUCAGAGUGGGGCUGAUUGUGCAAGCGGCCGUGCAGCCCACAGGCCAUGGAAAUUCGGGGCGGCCGCCGCGAGUACGUCACCCGCCCCAGGGGGGAGGACAGAGGCGCCGUGACAAGAGGCUGGAGGGAGUGGCCACCCAAGGCCAUCCGGGCAGCCAAGCUCCAGGCACAGGCAAGGCAGCCAGGAGGUCCAACUCAAGGCUGACGAUCCGGCCCUGCCCCACGCGGGGCCCCACCGCAGCCUGGGUGCACGGAGAAGAUGGGGUGCCCCCCACAUGAGAGGCCGAGGCCUCGCCCCUGCCCUCCCGGGUCGUCCCAGGCCCCUCGCCAACUGUAGCAGCCUCCAGGGCCUUCCUGGGGCAGAGAAAGUGUUCUGGGGAGCAGCUGCCCGAAGAACAGACUCCCCGAUCACCAGCCUGCCGGGGCCCUGCUGGCCUGGGGUGGGCCGCCCAGGGCUGGGGCGGGGGUGGGCCAAGGAUGGAUGGCCGCCCAGCCCCAUGUGCUCAGCUCAGCAGAAACCACGGCCGACGAUGCAAAAACUGAGGCUUGGUGAGGUUGAGAUGCUCGUCCCAGGUCACAUCACCAGGAAAUGGCAGAGCUGAGACUGGAACCCAGGUGUGUGCACCUCACUAUCCACGCUCCUCACCAGCCCUCCAUCCCCUGCAGCACAGGCCGCAGGUUCAAGUCUGGCUAUUCCACUGACCGUUAUGUGACUCUGGGCAAGACCUUUCAUCUCUUUGCAGCCUUGCUUUGUCUCUCCUCCGCUGUAAAAUGAAAAGAUGAUAGCUGGUGGCCUCUGAGGGCCCCUCCAGCUCGGAUGUUCUGAGAUUUCACUUCUGUCCGGAAAGCGUUGCUCUGACCAGCAGAACCAACGAAGCUGUGAAAAUUAAAGGCACAAACGGUGGGGUCACCCUCUGGGGGGCUGCUCUGGGGCAGCCCCUCCCCGCGCCACUCCUCUCAUGCCCAGACAGCCGGCCGCAGCCUGUGCCCUCCAGGAGGGCCGCCCUCCACUCUAGGAACAGCGGCAGAAUCUCUGGGGCUCAGGGCACGGCAGGCGCCUUCCUCUGGUGGCCUUUGAUGUCGGCCUCCAGGGAGACCUCAUGCAAGUUAAGGCCAGAGGAGUCAGACCCCAGAGUCCUGACAUGUAACUGGAAUCUCGAUCCUCGUCACACACUGGCUCUUUCUUGGAUUAACAGCCCAUGAGCAUCCACCCUCCUGAGUGCUGUCUGGGGAAGCAGUCCUCGCUGAGCCCUCGCCAAACGCUAGCUGGGGACGUAACCAGCCCCGUGCCGCAUGCCCUGCCUGUGUCCCCGCAUAGGGACCCAGCCACACCUCCCUCCUGCCUCCUCCCCAGCCCAGACCCGGCCCCAGACUGGCCUGGGGGAGUGGGGGCUCACUCGGGCAUCUGGCCUCUCCUUGAUGUAGGGGUAUCCUUGCCUUAGUGGGUGUGACCGUGGGGCUGAUUGAUGAAUAAGCUAGUGGCUGAGAGCGGGCCCUGUGUGCAAACCCCAGCUGUACCACUCACGCGGCCUCUCUGGGCCGCUGUUUCUCAGCUGUGACCGAGGGUAUAAUGGCCCCAACCCCGCCCUGGAUGUGAGGGUGAGAUGAGGAAAUGUGUGCAUGUGAAGAGCAGGUGCCCCCGACAGCUUGCUGCUGGGGGG